rnacentral:rRNA from 1 species
UACGGAGGGUGCGAGCGUUGUCCGGAAUCAUUGGGCGUAAAGGGCGCGUAGGUGGCCCGGUCAGCGUGCGGUGAAAGCUCGGGGCUCAACCCCGAGUCGGCCGUGCGAACUGCUGGGCUGGAGCACUGUAGAGGCAGGCGGAAUUCCGGGUGUAGCGGUGGAAUGCGUAGAGAUCCGGAAGAACACCGGUGGCGAAGGCGGCCUGCUGGGCAGUGGCUGGACACUGAGGCGCGACAGCGUGGGGAGCA